CCCUUAGAUGUUCUGGGCCGCAUGCGCGCUACACUGAUGCAUUCAACGAGUUUUUCCUGGUCCGAGAGGAAUGGGUAACCUUUUGAAAGUGCAUCGUGCUAGGGAUAGACUAUUGCAAUUAUUGGUCUUCAACGAGGAAUUCCUAGUAGACGUAGUUCAUCAGACUGCAUCGAUUACGUCCCUGCCCUUUGUACACACCGCCCGUCGCUCCUACCGAUUGGAUGAUCCGGUGAGCUAUUCGGACCUUCGCUUCGUCGAUUUUCGGCUUUGUGAGGGAAAGUCUCGCGAACCUUAUCAUCUAGAGGAAGGAGAAGUCGUAACA
rnacentral:rRNA from 1 species